AUGCCUCAGCUGAGCGCGGGAUAUGUGUGGAGCUGCUGGGAGUGGAGCAGGACUCAGGGCCGAGGAGGAGAGCAUGGAGCAGUGGAGGAGAAACAGAUGAUCAGCCGAGAGCUGGAGGAGAGAGGUGGGCGAGAGUGGACAUGGAUGAGACUGCAUUGGAGAAACUGGCCGAGAUGGAGUCCGUGUCUGGCUCUGAUGUGCUUGGUUCUUCUGGAGGAGUCUCCUCUGCACCCCUCUGUCAGUCUGACUGAAGCCGCGGGUCGACUGCUCCUCGCUGGGCUGCUGUGUGCUGCCAUGGGCCUCUAUGCUCUAGCUUUCCAGUUCCCGCUCCGUUAUGAACAGAAAGUAAAGCAGCAUCUCCCAUGCAAUGGUGAAGUGAUAGUGAGACAAACUGCUGAAAACCAGCAAGCCAGCAUAAGUCCACAGCAGGACGCAGGUCAUCUUGAAUCCCAGGUCAGUGCUCUAGCGGAGGGUUUAGCGGUGUCCCUCCUGCAAGAGCCCCUGCCGGACCCCAGCGAGCCACACAUACGAGGCCUCCUCACCAGACUAGAGGCAGUGUCUCGGACUCUCCACAGGAAGAGUUAUGAGGAAGAAACCGAGGAAAAGGAGAAAUGUGCUAUUCAAGAUAUACGCUCUUACCUGAGGGACAGGGUGAGCGGUCUGCGCUCUCUGCUGCAGGUUCAGCGUGAGUGUGACGCGAGUGUGUGUGCGGUUCAGAGCGGGUUACAGAAGCGCUGGGCUCUGCUGGAGGAGUUACACACACGAGUGACUCUGAGGCCUGACAGCACCCAGGAAGCACACGACCCUCACACCGUCCUCACAGACACUGAGAGCCUGUUCAGUGAGCUCGGUCAGUUCAAAAGCAAAGUCCAACAGUGCCGAACACAGCUGGAAACCAAUAUAAACCUUUUACAGGGACUUCGCAGCAGUCAUCAGCAUCUCAACACGACUUUUGGUGCCACCACUGACUCUGUAUGGACCAAAGAGUUAUUACAGUCCAACACUGAUCUGUUUUCUGAGAUCCAUGAGGAUUUCAUGUCUUUGGAACAGCAGACGUCAAAUUUUGUGAUCCACUUGAGAGGCCUGAAGGCUUCUGAGGAGGAAAAGACAAAGUUAUCUGUGAAUCAGUCUCGACUGUCUCUUCCCGCUGUCCCUGUGUACGUUGCUGCUCAGGAAGCAUCGCAAAUACAUUCUGACCCAGAAAGUGACUCGGAGUCCCCAGGAGCCUCACAGAAGACCCACUCCAGAAUGUCGCCCUUCCAUAUGCUCUGUGGGGCGAGGAGGAGGAGGUCAUCGCCGUAGUUUUGACAAAAGUUGGAUGUUUUAACAGGACAUUUUAUUAAUGCCCGCCUGUUGAGCAGGUGUAACGGCAGUUUAUGCACUUUAUUCAGAGUUAUAAUAACUGGAACCGCUAUAUAGUGUCUAUACUGUGACUUGUGAUUUUCUACAUGUGAAAUGUGUAAAUAAGAUCUCAUGCAUAAUGAAUACAACAACAAUAAUAAUAUAUUACAUUAAAUAUAGUAUUGAUGGUUUUUAUUGAAAUGAAUAUUAGUAAUAUAUAAUAGAAUAAUAGAAAAGUUUGCUGUCAGAAGAUUUAUUUGAAAAUAAUGUAAAAACAGUAAUAUUGUAAAAUAUUACUUUUUAGAAGUAUAUUUUUUUUCAGUCACAUGAUCCUUCAGAAAUCAUUCUAACCUGCUGAUAUUGUGUUAUAAAAACACUAUCUUAUUAUUAUAUCAUCAAAAAUAAUAAUACUAGUAACUCUAGUCAAUAGUCAAUCACCUCAUAUGAUGAAAUCCUUGUAUUGUGACUGUGCUGUGACUUGUGAUGUUCUGCUUGUAAACUGUGUAAAUAAGAUCUUUCCUGAAUCUUAAUCAUCUUAAGCGCACAUUAAACGGACAAUUAACUGAAACAAACAGUAAAUACGGUAGUAGCCAUGGAGAGGUUUUUGUCUCUAUGGUCAUGCCAUGUUUGAGCACAAGAGGGCACAAUCCAAUCAAAAAUAAACAGCCAACUCCUUCACCA
ensembl:lncRNA